rnacentral:tRNA from 1 species
UCCCCGGUAGCUCAAUGGUGGAGCGGCUCGCUGUUAACGAGAAGGUUGUAGGUUCGAGUCCUACCCGGGGAG